GCUAGCUGGCCUACCCAGGGUUAGCCCUACACCCUCCAUUGUGACAGCCUUGCAGGACAGCAGGCAGGCAGGCGGCAGGCAGGCGCACCCUAGGGUAGCUGUAACUCCGUGGGUAGGUAGGCCAGCUAUCAGGACUUCAAGGAACACUUUCUCAUCCUGUUUCACAUUGGACAGAAGCUUAACAUAACAUCUAAGAGGAAGACCUGCUUGGUGAAACUUCUCUGGUCAAAAAGGAAAACUAGAAUCAAGAGGCCCAGGCUCAGUCUGUGGGAUAAACUUUCCAUUCUUGAAAACUCCAGUUUCACAUUGUGGAUGAAGAGGUGGUGUUAAUGGAGCAAUAAAUACAGUCUCAAGGACAGACAGAUCAAAACAUUCCAUCCUGCAGGGGAGCCACUUAAUUAAACAAAGAUGCAAACUGCUAAAAAUUAGCUUCAAGAACUCCCUGAAGCUGAACAGACUCACCAGGCUCCUCCCUGACAGCAAAUUAUAAAAGCUGAGAGUCCCUCUCAGAGGGACAAGGAAGACUGAGAAGAGCAGCAGAGAAGGCUCUGAGACCAGACGAGGAAGCAGAAAGCACCAGAGCUGCACGCAAGAGCUUCAGACCAGAGUCACUUGGAAAGGACACUCCCAACCUGUGGAGCGCUGUGUAGGGUGCUCCAGGUUUCCAGCUUCUCUGAGCUGUCACACGUGCUGGGCUGGGCCUUGGUGAUGAAACUGUCUUUGAGUCGUUUCUGUUCCUGUAAGUUACCCCUCACACUAUUCCUAUAAGUAACCCCAAUAAAACUCACUAGU